rnacentral:rRNA from 1 species
UACGUAGGGGGCAAGCGUUAUCCGGAUUUACUGGGUGUAAAGGGGGCGCAGACGGCGAUGCAAGCCAGGAGUGAAAGCCCGGGGCCCAACCCCGGGACUGCUCUUGGAACUGCGUGGCUGGAGUGCAGGAGGGGCAGGCGGAAUUCCUGGUGUAGCGGUGAAAUGCGUAGAUAUCAGGAGGAACACCGGUGGCGAAGGCGGCCUGCUGGACUACAACUGACGUUGAGGCCCGAAAGCGUGGGGAGCAAACAGG